UCCCAACAUCUCAGCUCCUGACUCUAUAAAAGAGACGUUCGGCCCACAGAGCAGCACCGUCACAACCUCCCCGAUCAUCUCUGAGACGCUCUGUUCAAGUGGUGAGAACCCUGUAACCAUGCUGAAAGUAGCCCUUGUUCUUGGAUGCCUUCUGAGCCUCAUUAUGGCUGAAACCAUGGAGCACCAGCGAUUUGCCCGCUCCAAGGGUAGAUUUCAUUCUAACUCACAUGAGUCGAUCGCCACUCCCACAACCACAGCUGCAGGUGCAACCGCCUCAGCACAAACUCUGCAGCAGAUUUUAGCCCUUCUCCAACAACUUGGCAUCAAAAUCUAACAUCUGAAAUGCGACCAGCAAUGAAUUAACUUACAGCUUGCAGUUUCAAUCAGAAGACUUCUUUAUCCAACAUUUGGUCAAAAAAGCAUUCGUCUUUAUCUGUUAAAGCUGACAAAUAAAACUGUUUCAACUAAAGCCAUGCCCACACUGUGUUUUAUUUUUCUAAAAGUAAGAAAAUGCCAUAAAAAUCAUCAAUUGUUUUUUUUUUACCUUUUUAAAUAUAAAGGUAAAGACGCUCUGUUUUGUAAAACACAUUCUAACUGUGUUCCAACACACUAUAAUUCAUCACCUGCUGCAUUUGCUUCUACAGUAGAAUGUCACUAAUAUUAUAAAAGAAACAGUUGCUGUUUGAAAAAAUUGAAUAAAGGAGACUACACUG